rnacentral:rRNA from 1 species
UACGUAGGGUGCAAGCGUUAAUCGGAAUUACUGGGCGUAAAGCGUGCGCAGGCGGUUUUGUAAGUCUGUCGUGAAAUCCCCGGGCUCAACCUGGGAAUUGCGAUGGAGACUGCAAGGCUAGAAUCUGGCAGAGGGGGGUAGAAUUCCACGUGUGAGCAGUGAAAUGCGUAGAGAUGUGGAGGAACACCGAUGGCGAAGGCA